rnacentral:rRNA from 1 species
UACGAAGGGGGCUAGCGUUGCUCGGAAUCACUGGGCGUAAAGCGUGCGUAGACGGCUAUCUAAGUCGGGUGUGAAAGCCCCGGGCUCAACCUGGGAAUUGCAUUCGAGACUGAAUAGCUAGGGUACGGUAGAGGGAAGCGGAAUUUCCGGUGUAGCGGUGAAAUGCGUAGAUAUCGGGAGGAACACCAGUGGCGAAGGCGACUACCUGGCCUGUUUCUUGACGCUGAGGCGCGAAAGCUAGGGGAGCAAGCGGG